rnacentral:rRNA from 1 species
GCUUAACACAUGCAAGUCGAACGGCAGCACAGGGGAGCUUGCUCCCUGGGUGGCGAGUGGCGGACGGGUGAGGAAUACAUGGGAAUCUGCCCAAUCGUGGGGGAUAACGUAGGGAAACUUACGCUAAUACCGCAUACGACCUCCGGGUGAAAGCGGCGGACCGCAAGGCGUCGCGCGAUUGGAUGAGCCCAUGUCGGAUUAGCUAGUUGGCGGGGUAAAGGCCCACCAAGGCGACGAUCCGUAGCUGGUCUGAGAGGAUGAUCAGCCACACUGGAACUGAGACACGGUCCAGACUCCUACGGGAGGCAGCAGUGGGGAAUAUUGGACAAUGGGCGCAAGCCUGAUCCAGCCAUGCCGCGUGAGUGAAGAAGGCCUUCGGGUUGUAAAGCUCUUUUGUCCGGAAAGAAAAGCUUUCGGUUAAUACCCGGAAGUCCUGACGGUACCGGAAGAAUAAGCACCGGCUAACUUCGUGCCAGCAGCCGCGGUAAUAC